CGGAGGGUGCAAGCGUUAUCCGGAUUCACUGGGUUUAAAGGGUGCGUAGGCGGGCAGGUAAGUCAGUGGUGAAAUCCCGGAGCUUAACUCUGGAACUGCCGUUGAUACUAUCUGUCUUGAAUGCUGUGGAGGUGAGCGGAAUAUGUCAUGUAGCGGUGAAAUGCUUAGAUAUGACAUAGAACACCAAUUGCGCAGGCAGCUCACUACACAGGUUAAUUGACGCUGAGGCACGAAAGCGUGGGGAUCAAACAGGAUU
rnacentral:rRNA from 1 species